CCUACGGGAGGCAGCAGUAAGGAAUAUUGGACAAUGCUCGCAAGAGUGAUCCAGCCAUGCCGCGUGCAGGAAGAAUGCCCUAUGGGUAGUAAACUGCUUUUGAACUAGAGAAAACCCCAGUACGUGUACUGGGCUGAUAGUAUAGUUAGAAUAAGCAUCGGCUAACUUCGUGCCAGCAGCCGCGGUAAGACGAAGGAUGCAAGCGUUAUCCGGAUUCAUUGGGUUUAAAGGGAGCGUAGGUGGACUGAUAAGUCAGUGGUGAAAUCUCCGAGCUUAACUCGGAAAUUGCCAUUGAUACUGUUGGUCUUGAGUACAGUUGCUGUGGGCGGAAUAUGACAUGUAGUGGUGAAAUACAUAGAGAUGUCAUAGAACACCGAUUGCGAAGGCAGCUCACAAAGCUGUAACUGACACUGAGACUCGAAAGUGCGGGGAUCAAACAGGAUUAGAUACCCUGGUAGUCCGCACCGUAAACGAUGAUUACUCGCUGCUAGGGGGCAACCUUUAGUGGCUUAGCGAAAGCGANAAGUAAUCCACCUGGGGAGUACGCGGCAACGGUGAAACGUUAAAUAGAAUUGACGGCGNGAGAGNGCGACGGACGACGACGAGGGAGGAGG
rnacentral:rRNA from 1 species